UUAUAUUGCAGGUAAGGGUACUUACGCUGUAUAUCUGUGAUGUUACUGAAUGAAAGUUUAAGCGUUAUCUAAGAACGCCAGCCACAGAGACCACCGUUUUGGUGGUAUUUUUUUUGA
rfam:Leptotrichia buccalis DSM 1135, complete genome.